AUUCAGCUGACGAGUUUCAAAUAGGACGAAACGCGUGUCCUGAAU
rfam:Schistosoma curassoni strain Dakar, Senegal genome assembly, scaffold: SCTD_scaffold0000911